AGCGGGAUAGAGCAGAGGUAGCUCGCGAGGCCCAUUACCUCGAAGUCGCGGGUUCGAAUCCCGCUCCCGCCA
rnacentral:tRNA from 1 species